rnacentral:rRNA from 1 species
AACGAACGCUGGCGGCAGGCUUAACACAUGCAAGUCGAACGCAUCCUUCGGGUGAGUGGCAGACGGGUGAGUAACGCGUGGGAAUCUACCCAUCUCUGCGGAAUAGCUCCGGGAAACUGGAAUUAAUACCGCAUACGCCCUACGGGGGAAGGAUUUAUCGGGGAUGGAUGAGCCCGCGUUGGAUUAGCUAGUUGGUGGGGUAAAGGCCUACCAAGGUGACGAUCCAUAGCUGGUCUGAGAGGACGAUCAGCCACAUUGGGACUGAGACACGGCCCAAACUCCUACGGGAGGCAGCAGUGGGGAAUCUUGCGCAAUGGGCGAAAGCCUGACGCAGCCAUGCCGCGUGAAUGAUGAAGGUCUUAGGAUUGUAAAGUUCUUUCGCUCGUGACAAUGAUGACGGUAACGAGAGAAGAAGCCCCGGCUAACUUCGUGCCAGCCGCCGCAGUAA